rnacentral:rRNA from 1 species
UACAGAGGGGGCAAGCGUUGUUCGGAAUUACUGGGCGUAAAGGGCGCGUAGGCGGCCUGCUAAGUCGAACGUGAAAUCCCUGGGCUCAACCCAGGAACUGCGUCCGAUACUGGUUGGCUUGAAUCCGGGAGAGGGAUGUGGAAUUCCAGGUGUAGCGGUGAAAUUCGUAGAUAUUCGGAAGAACACCAGUGGCGAAGGCGGCUCACUGGACUGGUAUUGACGCUGAGGCGCGAAAGCCAGGGGAGCAAACGGGG